UCCAGCUCUUCCUGCCGCUGCUGCUCCCGCU
rnacentral:piRNA from 1 species